rnacentral:rRNA from 1 species
CACGUAGGCGGUCUGUUAAGUCGGAUGUGAAAGCCCCGGGCUCAACCCGGGAAGUGCAUACGAAACUGGCGGACUUGAAUAUGGAAGAGGGUCGCGGAAUUCCCGGUGUAGAGGUGAAAUUCGUAGAUAUCGGGAGGAACACCAGUGGCGAAGGCGGCGACCUGGGCCAAUAUUGACGCUGAGGUGCGAAAGCGUGGGGAGCAAACA